UAUUAAGGUGAAGAGUUCUGACUGAGGCCUAUAGCUGAAUUAUGCCACCUGAUUGAACGUCUGGCACUUUGAAGCACUGAUAUGUUAAAAGUCUGAAGUCACUAUGUUAAACGUACAUACUGCAUCAGAAUAAGUGCUUGACUUUCAAUUCAGUGGUUUUAUUCAGCUUAAGACCUUGGUUACAGCGUUUUUCAAUAAAACCUCUCAAAUUACCUAGUUAAAUAAGAUGUUCUCUUGAAUUGGAUAAUUUGACAUACUCGGAAAUGUAAAAAUAUCAAUGUUGUUACAAUUGAACUGUUUAAAUUAAUUUGCAUUUUAUAUUAUUUGUAAAAAUAUAUUGGAAUUUACAGUUUCAAGAAAUUUUAUCGAUCAUCUGCAUUUCUUCACGUGAAUAACAAACGAAGACACGCUACACUACUGCAAAUAAGUAUUUUACAGAUAUCAAAGAGAGCGGUGAAAAGAAUGAAGUUUUUGAUCCUUGAGGUGUCCUUAUGCGCGUCUAUCCUCUAGGAAAUACUGGAAUGAAGUGCAUCUAACGGGUGAACCUAUUGUACUGCAUCAUAAAAGCGGAAGAAGGAGGUGAAAUCAACUUGCCGACUGUUUAGCUGUGGUAAAAGCUAUCAAAUCCAUGAAUCCAGGAACCUAUUCAAUUCUCAAGAACAUCUCUGUCAUAAUGUGGUCGGACCCGUUCACCAAGGAAGGCACAUAGAAGACUGGCUUAUGAUGGCGAAAGACUUUUGAAGGCGGUUACCUUGAUUGGGAUCAUAUCUAUUAAACCUUCGAAUCCUGCACUCAAAAGUAAAUGUGAUACCAUUCAAAUGGAAUAAGAUUGAUUUGAAUUGGAAUUUGUUAUUCCUGUAUCAUAGUGCAUUUUUCUACUAGUUACCCUACGUAUUGUACAUUAUUGUAAUAAAGCACUAGCUGUUCCAUAGUAGAAGUCUUUGAAAUAAAAGGUUUCUUUUUCAAGUUA